AACAAUUUAAUUUUUGACAGUUAAAAAUUAAUUUUUUUUAUUUCUUAGGAUUAAAUUGGUAAUUUAAUUAUUUUCUUUUUAUUAAUGUCAAAACAAAGAAAUUAUUAUAAAAGGUUAAUAUUGUAAAAGUAAGACAAAAGAAAUAAAAAGUAACGGUAAGGGUAUCAAUACUUUAACGACAUAGAUGUUUCGAGACAUUUUUUAAAAUAUAAGGACUAAAUGGAUAUUAAUCUUAAAAUACAUGGACUAAAUAAGCUUUUAUCCUUUUUGCAAAAAUAAAGUUGACUACUUCUGGCCCAUUGGCGUGCUCAUGCCCUCAGCGUGCCCUCAACAACCUUGAGGGCAUGGGUUCAAGUCCCAACGCAGGGUCAUUGUUGGGACUUGCCUCCGUGUAAAAUGAGAGUUAAUUGGCUCCCCACAUUGGGGUAGGAUCAAUUUACCUCUAAUAAUGGUGAGGGUAAAUCUUCUUCCAGUCUAAUGAGGAUUUAUAUUCAGACUCUACUGUAAUAGAAUUACUCAGAUAAAAUUCCGACGAAUUUAUGAUUAUAAAUAUCAUGAUUGUAAUAUAUAAGUGUAUCCAAGAAAAAAAAAAGUUGACUACUUCUGACUUGGGGAACUGCCUCCACUUAUUAAUAUUUUUUAAUUAUAUUUAAAUUUACCUCUUAUUUUUUAUAAAAAAAAAAAUUUCACUCGCAUUUUUUAUUUUUCACCGCUUGAAAAGUCUAGGAUUCAAUUCUCACCAGGACGAGAGAUCUUCAUCUUAAAUGAGACAAAUUCUCAGGACUUCGACUGUUAUAAGAUGUAAGUAAUGAUAUAUAGAAUCGACACGAUCUAAACUCUGAACAAUAGAAUGUCAUUGAUUUUCCAAAAUUUCGUCCCCACAUUUGCUUCUCAUUGCAAUUAUUAUAUUGUCAUAUCUCGGAUACCCAAGGCUUUGAAGCGUGAUAUUACCAACAAGUUUGAACCUAAUAAUACAAUUCAUUUUUACAUCCACUUUCUUAAUAAAUUCUUUAUUAAAAAUUUAAGAACAAGACAUACUUUUCAAACAUAUGCGUGAAAAUAAUGUAGAUUGAUUUAACAGAUCUUUGAUUGGAAACUACCAAUAAUAUUAUAAUUUAGAGUUCA
rnacentral:lncRNA from 1 species